UACGAUACAGAGCAGACACUAACAGCAGCAUGGCCAAGUUACUGAUAGCUCUCACACUCAUUCUUUGCUUGGUUGCCAUGGCGUCCAUGGUUUCCGCUUCCUAUGGUUACCACAAGAAGAAAUGUUACAACCUGUGUCACGUGCCCUCUCACUGUCAUCCGUGGCAGUACUGUGAUUAUGUCCUCGGACUGUGGGGUUAUUGCUGUGACAAAUAUCGCAAAUAUUGAGAUUACUACUUAUAGAUUUUGGGAGUGGUUGUUUUUGGGAAUAAAUUAUACAUCAAGCAUAAGUUCUUUACGUUUUUCUUC